AUUGAACGCUGGCGGCAGGCCUAACACAUGCAAGUCGAGCGGGAUUUACCUUCGGGUAAUGAGAGCGGCGGACGGGUGAGUAAUGCUUGGGAAUCUACCUAGUAGUGGGGGACAACAGUUGGAAACGACUGCUAAUACCGCGUACGCCCUACGGGGGAAAGGGGGGGAUCUUCGGACCUCUUGCUAUUAGAUGAGCCCAAGUCGGAUUAGCUAGUUGGUGGGGUAAAGGCCUACCAAGGCGACGAUCCGUAGCUGGUUUGAGAGGAUGAUCAGCCACACUGGGACUGAGACACGGCCCAGACUCCUACGGGAGGCAGCAGUGGGGAAUAUUGGACAAUGGGCGCAAGCCUGAUCCAGCCAUGCCGCGUGUGUGAAGAAGGCCCUAGGGUUGUAAAGCACUUUAAGUAGGGAGGAAGGUCUGGUAAUUAAUACUUAUCAGGAUUGACGUUACCUACAGAAUAAGCACCGGCUAACUCCGUGCCAGCCGCCGCGGUAA
rnacentral:rRNA from 1 species